rnacentral:rRNA from 1 species
CACCGCGGUUAUACGAGAAGUCCAAGCAGAUAGGUAACGGCGUAAAGCGUGGCUAAGAGAACACUAAAAAUUAAAGCGGAACACCCUCAAUGCUGUUAUACGUAAGCGAGGUUAAAUAAAGACAUCUACGAAAGUGGCUUUAUGUUUAUCCCGACCCACGAAAGCUUUGGCA